rnacentral:lncRNA from 1 species
GAAACAAGAAGUAAUUGUAACAGGAUGCUGUUACGAAGUCUCCCAAACAAAGCUCCCAUAUUAAUUUGACUUGUUUAAUUGUCCCAUACAAGAAUAUAUAUGGUUUAGGGGUGGGGAUCUUGACCGUUUACAAGUUUUCAAACAAGAGGGGGUGGGUGACCCCCUAGGGACUUCCCUUUUAUUUCAUUUCAUUUAUUUGAUUGUCCCCUACAAGAAUAUAUAUGGUUUAGGGGUGGGGAUCUGGACCGUUUACAAGAUAAUAGAACAUUCUCAAAUUAAGCGGGGUAGGGGUAACCCCCAUGGACUCUCCCUAUAUUUCAGUUGUUGUGUUUUAUUGUUCCAUACAAGAAUAUACAUUGUUUAGGGGUGGGGAUAUGGACCGUUUACAAGUUUUCAAACACGACGGGGUGGGGUGACCCCCUAGGGACUUCCUUUUGAUUUCUUUUUAUUAGUUUUAUUGUCCCCUACAAGAAUAUAUAUAUAUGGUUUAGGGGUGGGGAUCUGGACCGUUUACAAGAUAAUAGCACAUUCUCAAAUUGAAUGGGGUGGGGUGACCCCCAGGAACUUCCCUUUAAUUUCAUUCGAUUUGUUUUAUUGUCCCCUACAAGAAUAUAUAUGGUUUAGGGGUGGGGAUCUGGACCGUUUACAAGAUAAUAGCACAUUCUCAAAUUGAACGGGGUGGGGGCAAACCCCAGGGACUUCUCCUUUAAUUCAUUAAAUUUGUUUUAUCGUCCCAUUCAAGAAUGUACAUGGUUUAGGGGUGGGGAUUUAGACCCUUUACAAGAUAAUAGCAUAUUCUCAAAUUUAAGGGGGUGGGGAUGACCCCCUAGAG